rnacentral:rRNA from 1 species
UACGGGGGGAGCAAGCGUUGUUCGGAUUUACUGGGCGUAAAGAGCUCGUAGGCGGUUUGUCGCGUCGGCUGUGAAAACCUGGGGCUCAACCCCGGGCCUGCAGUCGAUACGGGCAGACUAGAGUGCGGUAGGGGAGACUGGAAUUCCUGGUGUAGCGGUGAAAUGCGCAGAUAUCAGGAGGAACACCGGUGGCGAAGGCGGUUCUCUGGGCCUUACCUGACGCUGAGGAGCGAAAGCGUGGGGAGCGAACAGG